CUCAGUAACGGCGAGUGAAGCGGCAACAGCUCAAAUUUGAAAUCUGGCUUCGGCCCGAGUUGUAAUUUGCAGAGGAAGCUUCUGGCACGGCAUCGUCCGAGUCCCCUGGAACGGGGCGCCAUAGAGGGUGAGAGCCCCGUAUGGACGAAUGCCUAGCCUGUGUGAAGCUCCUUCAACGAGUCGAGUAGUUUGGGAAUGCUGCUCAAAAUGGGAGGUAAAUUCCUUCUAAAGCUAAAUAUUGGCCAGAGACCGAUAGCGCACAAGUAGAGUGAUCGAAAGAUGAAAAGCACUUUGAAAAGAGGGUUAAACAGCACGUGAAAUUGUUGAAAGGGAAGCGCUUGUGACCAGACUUGCGCCAGGCUGAUCAUCCGGUGUUCUCACCGGUGCACUCCGCCUGGUACAGGCCAGCAUCAGUUUUGGCGGGGGGAUAAAGGAUACAGGAACGUAGCUCCCCUGGGAGUGUUAUAGCCUGUGUCGUAAUGCCCUCGCCCGUAAUGGUCAUCAGCGACCCGUCUUGA
rnacentral:rRNA from 1 species